rnacentral:lncRNA from 1 species
AUAGAUUAAUGUUUCUCCGACCAUGAAGAAAAUAUGCAUUUGAAAAACUGAACUAGAGGAAUUAUUGCUGCAAUUUUGUUUCCUCCUGAUAUCAUAGAGCCACAAGCUGUGGGCACAGCCCCAGUGUGAAAAGAGCCAGUGUUGUCCAGGGUAACAGCACUGUCUAAGAGAGCUGACUGGACAUGCUGUGUUCACAGAUCUGACUGCAUCUUCAGACGAUAGUCUGCCAAGCUAAUGUGAUUAAUGUGUUCCUGGUGGCAGCAUUUCCUGCUACUCUGUUUUCCGUGAAGACAGAUCACACUGCCUCGCAGCCUCCAACUGAGCUCUAGAAGCCAGGCAGGAAGGAAGCCAAGCCCACUGCCGCCCACACCUCACCUCUGCACCUCAGCUGCUAUGCACACAUUCCACCAAUUUUUCAGAAAGGAGCGCCAUCCAUGGAGGAUGUGGAACAGCUGGGGGCCCUGAUUUUGCGCCCUCUCUCUUCCUCCAUGCCCCACCACACAGUCUCUGCAGAUGUCUAGUGUGAAGCGGAAGCGGUGUGGCUCGUUAGCAUGCCCGGAAAAGCGGCAGACGGAAGUGAUCUGACAGGCCUACUCUUGCAGCUGCAGGGAAUUGGUGGGUGGAGUGCCAGGGGCCAAGAGAGGACGAAGCUCAAGCGUGUCUUCACCCUUUGGCUUCCUUGAAGUACGAAGGCCUGUGGCCUGCCCUUGCUCCUCACCCUGUGGCACACUGGUCGAGCAGGUUACACCAGAUCCAUAGCCUUCCAUGCACUACCCAGUUUCUUAGAAGUUAAGGCGCGUCAAGAAUAAAAUGAAUGAAAAUGCUUUUGCUGGGGGAGAAGUAAAUACGAAGCUUUAUAAAAA